rnacentral:piRNA from 1 species
UCCGGGUUGAGGAGAGAGGAAAUGAAC